AAUCAACCCAAAUUCAGCCCAAAAUUUCCCCCAAAAUUCCUCCAAAUUCACCCCAAAUCCAGCCCAAAAACCCCUGCAGGUCACCCUGAAAUCCACCCAAAAUUCACCCCAAAAUUCCACCCAAAAUCUACCCCAAAAUUCACCCCAAAUCCAGCACAAAAAUUCCCCCAAAAUUCCUCCAAAUUCACCCCAAAUCCACGCAAAAUCCGCCCCAAAAUUCCUCCAAAAUCCAGCCCAAAAAACCCCUGCAGGUGACCCCGAAAUCCACUCAAAAUUCACCCCAAAGUUCUCCCCAAAACCUCAAGGGUGACCCCAAAAUCUACCCCAAAAUUCACCCCAAAUUCACCCCAAAUCCAGCACAAAUUCAGCCCAAAAAUUCCCCCCAAAAUCCACCCCAAAAUUCCAUCCAAAAUCCACCCCAAAAUUCCACCCAAAUCCACCCCAAAAUUUCUCCAAACUCCACCUCAAAUACACCAAAUUUUACCCCAAAAUUCCCCCAAAACUUCACCCCAAAAUUCACCCAAAUCCACCCAAAAUUCCCUCAAAAUCCACCCAAAAUUUCUCCAAAAUCCACCUCAAAUCCACCCAAAAUUCCCCCCCAAAUUUCUCCAAUAUCCACCCCAAAUCCAUCCCAAAAUCCACCCAAAAUUCCCCACAAAUCAACACCAAAUCUGCCCCAAAUCCACCCCCAAAUGCCCCUCAAAAUCCACCCAAAAUUCUCACAAAAAUCCCCCAAAAAUCCACCCAAAAUCCCUCAAAAAUUCACCCCAAAAUUCCCCCAAUUUCCACCCCAAAUUCACCCAAAAUCCCCUCAAAAUUCCCCCAAAAUUUCUCCAAAAUCCACCUCAAAUUCACCCAAAAUUCCCCCCCAAAUUCCCCAAAUAUCCACCCCAAAUCUAUCCCAAAAUCCACCCCAAAUUCCCCACAAAUCAACACCAAAUCCACCCAAAAUCCCCCCAAAAAUCCACAAAAAUCCACCCAAAAUUCCCUCAAAAUCCCCUCAAAAUUUCCCCAAAAAAUCCCCAGCCCAGCUCCAGCCCCUGGAGACCCCAAAAUCCACCUGGAGACCCCAAAAUUCCCC
rnacentral:lncRNA from 1 species